rnacentral:pre_miRNA from 1 species
UGUAAACAUCCUACACUCAGCUGUGACCCACCCAGCGGCUGGGAGGGGGAUGUUUGCUUC